GCAGAGCUGUGCAUUAUCAUUAUCUUAGAGAUGGUGAUUUGGUGUGUGGACACUCCACCAAAGAUCUAAUGCAAUCAGAAAGUUAAAAUAUAUGGGCUGGAAAUACAAAUUCAUUAGACGUACACAAGAAAGUACGCUGCGGCGGAUCUGUCAUUUAAAUUAGAUUGUGACAAUUAUAUGGAUAGUCUGGUUGAGAUGAUAUAUGAGUUGCUCACUUUAUCUGUGCCGUGAUUUAAUUUCUGCCAGAGAUGCACUGAGUUAGGACCCCGUCAUCCUCUCACCGGACCUACGCCGAACAGAGCUGGGCCCAUCCCGCAUGCUUCCCGUUAGCAGCUCGAAGGAUUUAGAGCUGGAGGUGGACUAAUAGCAACAUUUUAAUGAGAAGAAAGAUGUAGAAGGACAUCUUCAUUUCACACGAAGGAAUAGGCACCUGCCUGGAAGUUUAAGGUCACAGAGAGAGGCUGAAGCAG